AGAUGCCUCCUGAUGUGGUGCCAGACCAGCCAGAGCCCUCUCUGUGCCGCCGUGGAUGAUCCGAUGGGCAGCGUAGAUGUGUUUUCUUUGGGACUGCCUCACUGUUCAUAAAAAGAGGUCCGCUCUGUCAACAAUGAAUGCAACUGGAUCUCACUUGUGUUUGAAAAGCUGACCUUCACCAGCCAGCCCUCAUUCCCAGGAGAGGUUUCUCUACCCAAGGCAUUUUGGCUUCAGUUGUGUUUGCAUCAACUGCACCACCUAUACUGGGAACAGUCCUCUGGAACUGCUGCAGCCCCCUUCUCCUCCAUCCACAGUGAAUUCCAUUGAACGGACAGCGUGCUGAAAUUGGACUUCCAAGAGCAUCAAAAGAUCACUCAACCUCGCUUGUGUCAUUCUCCAACUCGGUAAUAGAUUUCUGAUCCAGCAGCAGCUGGAAGAAGAUUCCUAAAAUGGUGGGACAUUUCAUGCUCUGAAAGUCAACAAUCCUUCAGAGGCCCCAACCAUCCUUAU